GAAGCUGACCGGGCAGUCGCUGCUAUUAUGAAAAAUACAUAGAAGAGGAAAGUCCGGACUCCAAGAGGCAAAGGUACCAGAUAACAUCUGGGGAACGUAAGUUCACGACUAGUGCAACAGAAAAUAAACCGCUAAAAAUUAGAAUUAGCAAGGGUGAAAAGGUGUGGUAAAAGCACACCGAAUACUUGGUAACAAGUAUUGACUAGGUAAACUUCUACCUUGGAGCAAGGCCAAAUAAGAGUAUUCGCCCAAUUUUUAAUACUCGGGUAGGCUGCUUGAACUAAUGAGUAAUUAUUAGUCUAGAUAAAUGACUGUCAAAUACUGAACCCGGCUUAUAGGUCAGCUUCAUUA
rnacentral:RNase_P_RNA from 17 species